GGGUGUGGCUCAGCUUGGCUAGAGCGCUUGAUUUGGGAUCAAGAGGUCGCAGGUUCGAAUCCUGUCACC
rnacentral:tRNA from 4 species